GACGUAGGGCGCGAGCGUUGUCCGGAUUUAUUGGGCGUAAAGCGCACGUAGGCGGCUUUGUAAGUUAGAGGUGAAAGCCCAGGGCUCAACCCUGGAAUUGCCUUUAAGACUGCAUCGCUUGAACAUCGGAGAGGUAAGUGGAAUUCCGAGUGUAGAGGUGAAAUUCGUAGAUAUUCGGAAGAACACCAGUGGCGAAGGCGACUUACUGGACGAUUGUUGACGCUGAGGUGCGAAAGCGUGGGGAGCAAACAGG
rnacentral:rRNA from 1 species